rnacentral:rRNA from 1 species
UACGGAGGGGGCCAGCGUUGUUCGGAAUCAUUGGGCGUAAAGGGCGCGUAGGCGGCCGGGUAAGUCUGACGUGAAAUCCCUUGGCUCAACCAAGGAAUUGCGUCUUAAACUGCCAGGCUGGAGUCCGGGAGAGGGUAGUGGAAUUCCCAGUGUAGCGGUGAAAUGCGUAGAUAUUGGGAGGAACACCGGUGGCGAAGGCGGCUACCUGGACCGGUACUGACGCUGAUGCGCGAAAGCUAGGGGAGCAAACAGG